UUUCUGCCACCGAAUACAUUAGCAUGGGAUAAUGGAAUAGGACCCUGUCCUCCUAUUUUCAGUUGGUUUUGGCAGCGCGAGGACUAGGGUAAUGAUUAAUAGGGAUAGUUGGGGGCAUUAAUAUUUAAUUGUCAGAGGUGAAAUUCUUGGAUUUAUGAAAGAUUAACUUCUGCGAAAGCAUCUGCCAAGGAUGUUUUCAUUAAUCAAGAACGAAAGUUAGGGGAUCGAAGACGAUCAGAUACCGUCGUAGUCUUAACCAUAAACGAUGCCGACCAGCGAUUAGGAGACGUUGAAUACAAAACACCACCAUCGGUGCGGUCGUCCUUGGCGUCGG
rnacentral:rRNA from 1 species